GGGCUGAUGAUGAUUGAUCGUAAAGAUCUAGCGGAUUUCUGUGAGGCUACUAGCCGUUGAUCGCAGUAAAUUGUUGUUACACACACUGAAGCCU